AGUUUAUAGCGUAGAGCCAAAAACCGAAGCGCCAAGGCCAAAACCAAAACCCUGCUUCCGUUCUCUGUUCUCGGCGGGAUCCGUAUUUGCAUUGCUCUCGAACAUUGCGCAUCAGAUCAGGCUUUUUUACGUGCACUGAAACUUCGAGCUACUUUGUUCAUAUUUAUUUUCAAUGGCGAUUGAGAAAAUUCUUAAAGAUGAUGCUAUUGAAGAGAAGGGGGAAUGUGCCAG